CGAAAUGCGAUAACUAAUGUGAAUUGCAGAAUUCAGUGAAUCAUCGAGUCUUUGAACGCACAUUGCGCCCCCUGGUAUUCCGGGGGGCAUGCCUGUCCGAGCGUCAUUGCUGCCCUCAAGCCCGGCUUGUGUGUUGGGUCGCCGUCCCCCUCUCCGGGGGGACGGGCCCGAAAGGCAGCGGCGGCACCGCGUCCGAUCCUCGAGCGUAUGGGGCUUUGUCACAUGCUCUGUAGGAUUGGCCGGCGCCUGCCGACGUUUCCCAACCAUUUUUUCCAGGUUGACCUCGGAUCAGGUAGGGAUACCCGCUGAACUUAAGC
rnacentral:misc_RNA from 1 species